AUUUAUAAACCAUAAUAAACAACAUAUUUAACAAUAAUAAUAAAACAAUCAUUGGGAAAACAUCUGAAGCAGUUCCUGAGAAGAGAGAAAAGAAGAAGUUAUUAACAUGUUAAUGUUGUUAGUGUGUCUGUGUGUACAUCUAAAUGUUAGUGUGUCUGUGUGUACAUCUAAAUGUUAGUGUGUCUGUGUGUACAUCUAAAUAUUAAUAUGUCUUUGUGUACAUCUAAAUAUUAGUGUGUGUCUUUGUUUAGUACCAAAUGUUAGUGUGUCUGUGUGUACAUCUAAAUAUUAAUGUCUUUGUGUACAUCUAAAUAUUAGUGUGUGUCUUUGUGUACAUCUAAAUGUUAGUGUGUGUCUUUGUUUAGAACCAAAUGUUAGUGUGUCUGUGUGUACAUCUAAUUGUUAGUGUGUCUGUGUGUACAUCUAAAUAUUAGUGUGUGUCUUUGUGUACAUCUAAAUGUUAGUGUGUGUCUUUGUUUAGAACCAAAUGUUAGUGUGUCUGUGUGUACAUCUAAUUGUUAGUGUGUCUGUGUGUACAUCUAAUUGUUAGUGUGUCCCGAUGACGUAGUGUCCCGAUGACGUGGUGUCCUGAUGGCGUCCUGAUGGCAUCCCGAUGACGUGGCGUCCUGAUGGCGUCCUGUUGGUCUGCAGACAAGGAGAAGAGACGUGAGGAGGAUCAUCAGGAUGUGUCUGUGUGUACAUCUAAUUGUUAGUGUGUCUGUGUGUACAUCUAAUUGUUAGUGUGUCUGUGUGUACAUCUAAUUGUUAGUGUGUCUGUGUGUACAUAUAAAUGUUAGUGUGUCUGUGUGUACAUCUAAAUAUUAAUGUGUCUUUGUGUACAUCUAAAUAUUAGUGUGUGUCUUUGUUUAGAACCAAAUGUUAGUGUGUCUGUGUGUACAUCUAAUUGUUAGUGUGUCUGUGUGUGGAUCUAAUUGUUAGUGUGUCUGUGUGUACAUCUAAAUAUUAAUGUGUCUUUGUGUACAUCUAAAUGUUAGUGUGUGUCUUUGUUUAGAACCAAAUGUUAACGUGUCUGAGUACAUCUGUGUGUGUGUGUGUGUGUGUGUGUGUGUGGGUGUGUGUGUGUGUGUCAUGAGUAGAUUUGGAUUUGCUCCUGAGGGGUUGACGCGGCGUCCUGAUGGCGUCCUGAUGGCGUCCCGAUGACGUGGUGUCCUGAUGGCGUCCCGAUGACGUGGCGUCCUGAUGGCGUCCUGAUGGCGUCCCGAUGACAUGGCGUCCUGAUGGCGUCCCGAUGACAUGGUGUCCUGAUGGCGUCCUGAUGGCGUCCUGUUGGUCUGCAGACAAGGAGAAGAGACGUGAGGAGGAUCAUCAGGAUGUGUCUGUGUGUACAUCUAAUUGUUAGUGUGUCUGUGUGUACAUCUAAAUAUUAAUUUGUCUGUGUGUAGAUGUCAUUGUUAGUGUGUCUUUGUUUAGAACCAAAUGUUAGUGUGUCUGUGUGUACAUCUAA
ensembl:lncRNA